rnacentral:rRNA from 1 species
UCAGACGAUGCGUCAUGCAUAUCAAUAAGCGGAGGAAAAGAAACUAACAAGGAUUCCCCUAGUAACGGCGAGUGAAGCUGGGAAGAGCUCAAAUUUGAAAUCUUAAAGGGUUUCCCUUUACGAAUUGUAGUUUAAAGAAGUGUUUUCUGUUGAGGUUUUGGUAAAAGUUCUUUGGAAUAGGACAUCAUAGAGGGUGAGAAUCCCGUAUUUGACCUUUACUUUCAACUUUGUGAUACACUUUCAAAGAGUCGGAUUGUUUGGGAAUGCAGUCCAAAAUGGGUGGUAAAUUUCAUCUAAAGCUAAAUAUUGGCGAGAGACCGAUAGCGAACAAGUACCGUGAGGGAAAGAUGAAAAGAACUUUGAAAAGAGAGUUAAACAGGUACGUGAAAUUGUCAAAAGGGAAGCGUUUGACACCAGUGUUGUUUUUCUGAAAAUCAAUUAAAGAACUGUUUAUGCUAAGUUGUUUAGACUUUAUCAGCUAACUGUUUAGUUUUGAGCUUUUCUUUAAUGCACUUUUCAGUUAACAAGUCAACAUCAAUUUCUUUUGCUGUAAAAAAGCUUGAGGAAGGUGGCUUGAGAUUCGUCUUAAGUGUUUAUAGCCUCUUGCCUAUGCAGUCGGAGAGAUUGAGGUCUGCAGCGUAGAUCCUUCGGGGCUAAAUGCAUUUGUGCUAAGUUAUAGGCAUUUUAUAGACAACUUGUUGACUAUGAUUUGUCUUGUAGCUUACUCGCUUAUGUUAUUUUACCUACGCUUAGGAUGUUGAAUCUGUGCGAGACUAC